rnacentral:rRNA from 1 species
UACGAAGGGGGCUAGCGUUGUUCGGAAUUACUGGGCGUAAAGCGCGCGCAGGCGGCCUUUCAAGUCAGGGGUGAAAGCCCGGAGCUCAACUCCGGAAUUGCCUUUGAAACUGUCAGGCUCGAGUACGGGAGAGGUGAGUGGAAUUCCCAGUGUAGAGGUGAAAUUCGUAGAUAUUGGGAGGAACACCGGUGGCGAAGGCGGCUCACUGGCCCGUUUCUGACGCUCAGGCGCGACAGCGUGGGGAUCAAACAGG